ACAGCCUGCUGGGAAGCUGCAGAUGGGCAGGGUCUGCAGCUGCGCAGAGAAUGAAAUGGAUGGUCCAACACAGACAAGGCCGACCACUCCACCGGAUGAAAGCCUUGUCAGAGCAAAUCUGUAGGUAACUAUGUUUUUUAUUGGCCUAUUAUUUGUAAAGAAUUUUAGGAAACAAAGGGAAUUGCUACAUAUUGUUUUUUUUUUAAUUUAAUCGUUCUUAAAGAAUAAAUGUCUGGCCCUUUUAAGAGAUCUGUUUGAUGCAUGUCCAAAAGCUAGGACCUGUUUGGGUUUUGGUGUGUAUCUCGCUAUUUUUGCAUGUUUCUUUUAUGCAAAUUAUUAAACUAAUAGUAUUCCUAUAAAAGCUACAUUAUAUUUAUUUAUUUAGGUUUCUAAAGUAGGUUAUUUAAAUUAAAUUAUUCCUUGAGAAGUUCAUUUGUAUAUAUAAUGUUUUUAGAUUAUGUUUAACCCUAAACCUUCCAAGUUCCUCCCUGCCCCCACUGUGCCCUUCCCAAUUCUCUUCCUGCCCCCAAAUAAAGUACUGAAUCCUGUUAGUGUUCCUUGAUGUACAUUCUUGAGUCAUGAAAAGCUACACCUAACCGCAGCCCUGAAGAAAAGUUACAUUAUUUUGCCUAGCAGCCAUCAGUGGUCAGUCUGAGAGUCAGACAGCACACAAUCUCAGAUGUGGUUAUAGCCUUGAAUCGUUAGCUUUGUGUGUUUGGCUUAGAUUUGUGGCAGAAACCACGAAAUGGGGCUAUUUGGAGUGGCAUUAAGAGGAGUUUACCAGAACACAGAUUACCAGUUCCUUUUCAUUGGAAAGAGAAUUCUUUUCACAUCAACUAUAUUCAAGUCUACAACAGUUUAUAAUCUCUUGUGGGCAGAAGAUGACAGAACUGACAUACUACAGAGGAAGGUAUGAAGAGUUACAGCGAGCAAGUAUGGGCCAUUCUCUCAGGUAUUUCUGCAGAAGCCACCCAUUAUAAGUGCACCAAACUUAUGUAUCAUUGGUAAGAAUUGCUCACAUGUGUUUAUACAUUAUGGCCGUUUUAAAGCAUAGAUUAACCCAUAAUGUUCAAGAGAGAGCCUCCUUGUUUUUCUUUUAAAUUCAUUUGUUUUGAUUUCGUGCAUAUAAUUAUUUUGUCUAUAUUUUUUUUUGUUGUUGUUGUUUUCUUUUGGGCAACACUUCCAUUCCUGGUAGCUGCUGUGGCCAGAAGAUGAUACUGAAUUUCUGAGAGCUGGAGUCAAGGGUGAUUGUGAGUUACCAUGUGGGUGCUGACAAAGGAACACAAGUCCUUUGGAAGUGCUCCUAAUCCAAGCCAUAUCACGAGACAGAGUCACCUUAGCUUUGUUGUUGUUGUUGAUGAUGAUGUUGUUGUUGUUUUUGACACAGAGUCUCUCACAGGGACCUGAGUUUCACAGAUUUGACUGCCUGACCAGGGACCUCCAGGGACAUGGAAUUCUUGACUUUCCAGUGUUUGCUAGGACUGAAGAUGUGUACCACCAUCACCCCACGGUUGUAAGGAAGCCAUACGUGUCUGACUGAAAAAUGGAUUACUUAGAUAAGGAUGACCCUUGAAGAACAAUCUUGCUUUGGGUUGAGAUACUUCAGUUAUGAAGACCACUUAGCCAGAGGCAGAACUACAGAAGGAAAAAGCAAGAUCUACCUGAGGACCAAGCUAUGUCACUCUUUGGAAUAUACC
rnacentral:sRNA from 1 species